rnacentral:rRNA from 1 species
CCUGGCCACGAAUUGUAAUCUCUCGACGCGCUGCCAGCAGGGGCGUAGAUGUAAGCCGCUUGGAAAAGCGAAUCACUGAGGGUGAGAAUCCUGUUCGUCAUCUGCAGACCUCUGUGUACGGCACACGUUCUAAGAGUCACGUUCCUUGGGAUUGGAGCGCAAAUUGGGUGGUAAAUUUCAUCUAAAGCUAAAUAUGGGUUCGAGACCGAUAGCAAACAAGUACCAUGAGGGAAAGAUGAAAAGGACUUUGAAAAGAGAGUUAAAAGUGCCUGAACUUGCUGAAAGGAAAGCGGAUGGAACCAGUUUUGCUUGGUGAGAUUGUCGCACGCAGCAAUGAUCACCUUCUAUUCCAGCGAAAGCGGGGCGGUGGGCUGUGAUUUGUUCGGUGUGAUGUUUCUUGCCUUGUGUGUCAUCAUCAGUUUGGAGGUGGGGACAACUCUUGGGACCUGGUAGCUCGCCCCUGGGUGAGUGAAUGUGCCUUGCGGGACCCACCAACAAACAGUUCAACCUUUGUGGGGCUGCGUUGCUUCGUGUUGCGUGCUCUGGCGAGCUUCACACGCGUGGCACCUUCCUUACAAGCUAAUGGUGACGAAAUGGUUCUAUUCGACCCGUCUUGAAACACGGACCAAGGAGUCUAACAUGUGUGCGAGUUCAUGGGUGGUAAAACUUGCGUGCGCAAUGAAAGUGAUUGCUGAGACCUUAGCAUCAGCGGCCGACCAA